rnacentral:rRNA from 1 species
UACGAGGGGGGCAAGCGUUGUUCGGAAUUAUUGGGCGUAAAGGGUGCGUAGGCGGUCUGACAAGUCUGAUGUGAAAUCUAUGGGCUCAACCCAUAGUCUGCAUCGGAAACUGUCGGGCUUGAGUAUGGGAGAGGUGAGUGGAAUUCCCAGUGUAGAGGUGAAAUUCGUAGAUAUUGGGAAGAACACCGGUGGCGAAGGCGGCUCACUGGCUCGUAUCUGACGCUCAGGCGCGACAGCGUGGGGAUCAAACAGG